rnacentral:rRNA from 1 species
UUCCGGUUGAUCCUGCCGGAGGACAUUGCUAUUGGGAUUCGAUUUAGCCAUGCUAGUCGAACGAGUUCAGACUCGUGGCGAAUAGCUCAGUAACACGUGGCCAAGCUCCCCUUCAGUCAGCGAUACCCUCGGGAAACUGAGGUUAACAGCUGAUACAAAACGCCAGCUGGAAUGCGGCGUUUCAGAAAGACAUCGCUGAAGGAUGCGGCUGCGGCCGAUUAGGUAGACGGUGGGGUAACGGCCCACCGUGCCAGUAAUCGGUACGGGUGAUGAGAGUCAGAGCCCGGAGACGGAAUCUGAGACAAGAUUCCGGGCCCUACGGGGCGCAGCAGGCGCGAGACCUUUACACUGCACGGAAGUGCGAUAGGGGAAUCCCAAGUGCGAGGGCAUAUUAGCCCUCGCUUUUCUCGACUGUAAGGUGGUCGACGAAUAAGGGCUGGGCAAGACCGGUGCCAGCCGCCGCGGUAAUACCGGCAGCUCAAGUGAUGUCCCAUAUUAUUGGGCCUAAAGCGUCCGUAGCUGGCCGACCAAGUCUACCGGGAAAUCCACCCGCCCAACGGGUGGGCGUCCGGUAGAAACUGGCCGGCUUGGAACCGGAAGGCUCAGAGAGUACGUCCGGGGUAGGAGUGAAAUCCCGUAAUCCCGGACGGACUACCGAUGGCGAAAGCACUCUGAGAAGACGGCUUCGACAGUGAGGGACGAAAGCUCGGGUCUCAAACCGGAUUAGAUACCCGGGUAGUC